rnacentral:rRNA from 1 species
UACGUAGGCGGCAUCAUAAGUCGUGCGUGAAAGGCAGGGGCUCAACCUCUGGAGUGCGCGUGAUACUGUGAUGCUGGAGUAAUGGAGAGGGAACCGGAAUUCUUGGUGUAGCAGUGAAAUGCGUAGAUAUCAAGAAGAAGACUCGUGGCGAAGGCGGGUUCCUGGACAUUUACUGACGCUGAGGUACGAAGGCCAGGGUAGCGAAAG